rnacentral:rRNA from 1 species
GACGAACGCUGGCGGCGUGCCUAAUACAUGCAAGUAGAACGCACAGUUUAUACCGUAGCUUGCUACACCAUAGACUGUGAGUUGCGAACGGGUGAGUAACGCGUAGGUAACCUGCCUGGUAGCGGGGGAUAACUAUUGGAAACGAUAGCUAAUACCGCAUAAUAUUAAUUAUUUCAUGAUAAUUAAUUGAAAGGUGCAAUUGCACCACUACCAGAUGGACCUGCGUUGUAUUAGCUAGUAGGUGAGGUAACGGCUCACCUAGGCGACGAUACAUAGCCGACCUGAGAGGGUGAUCGGCCACACUGGGACUGAGACACGGCCCAGACUCCUACGGGAGGCAGCAGUAGGGAAUCUUCGGCAAUGGACGAAAGUCUGACCGAGCAACGCCGCGUGAGUGAAGAAGGGUGUCGGAUCGUAAAGCUCUGUUGUAAGAGAAGAACGGGUGUGAGAGUGGAAAGUUCACACUGUGACGGUAUCUUACCAGAAAGGGACGGCUAACUACGUG